UCCUGUUUGUUUACAAUUUGAUAGCUACUGAAGACAGGGUUAUCGCUCGAACCGUCUGGAAAGUUCUAAGGGAGACAUCUGGUGGAAGAGAUGCAGAGCGUGUUGCCCUGAAGUUGGAAAU